rnacentral:tRNA from 1 species
GCCGCUGUAGCUCAGCUGGUAGAGCGCCGGCCUCGUACUUAAGUAGGGAGAGCCGGUGGUCGCGGGUUCAAAUCCCGCCGGCGGCU